rnacentral:misc_RNA from 1 species
UUAACUAUUAUAUAGUACUCAGACGACACUAACAUUCAGAGUUUGGGGUCCUCUGGCAGGCACGCACCAGCCGAAGCCAGUGGUCAGACCGAAGUAUGACGGCCUACCAAAGCAACAAAGGUAUAAAUACAUAGGGUGGGAGAUCUACCCCGAAGGGCAUGAACUCUGUAAUGAUCCCUCCGCAGGUUCACCUACGGAGA